rnacentral:misc_RNA from 1 species
AUUAUCAUUACCAUUGCCUGGCUGAUCUGACUGCAGUAUGUGAAUGUAUUGGAAGUAUAGUGCACAAACAUUAAUUACCUCGGUACCUGGGGACAGUUCUUGUGUAAUAUAGCUCUGCUUGCACUAAUUGGCUUUUAAUCUCGGGUCUUGAAGGAAGUGAAACCUGAACCAUUGCCGAGACAUGUUACCUGAAACAUGCAAAUGAAAUGUUUCCUGUUGGUUUUUUUCUAUCUUAAUUUUUUUUUUUGUAUGAAGACAUUGAGUGGGUGACCGCGAUAUCGUCUUUGUGUGACUUUUGUGACUGGGUAUUCUUACUCUGUUAUUGAUUUUCCUGUUGAGUUUUGAUGAUGGAGCAAUUUGAGAAAAUAGUCAACAGAGGGUAGUUGAAUCAGCAGUGUCAGAACCAAACCCUACAUGUGAAACUUUUGAAGACAGUUGAAAGUGGUUAGAUCAUAACAGUAGCUAAGUAGUACCAGAUCAGAUUUUGUGAAAAAAAAGAGAGAGGAAACACGAAGCUGAUGUAUACUGUAAUCUUAUGAUCAUGAUCUGAUUACAGACACUGACAGAAAGUGUAGGUUUAUUUAGUCUUGAGAUUUGCACUGAGUACACUGAGUACAUUCCACUCUAAAAGGAAGGAAAAUUAUCCGUGAAAUGCACAGUGAAGAUUUGAUGUCCUCAUGCAAUGGUGAUGUGCCUCGAUCACUGCCUCCAUGGAUAGAACUUUAUGCUCAGAACUGCACAAUCAUGAAUUGUCAUUAAUAACAUGUAAACUAGUUAAAUGUAAUUUAAACCAGUUCAUUGUGUAAACAUUUAAUUACAGUAUUGAUGAUAG